rnacentral:rRNA from 1 species
UACAGAGGGAGCGAGCGUUCUCCGGAAUGAUUGGGCGUAAAGCGUCUGUAGGUGGUUUAGAAAGUCUACUGUCAAAUACCAAGGCUCAACCUUGGGCAGGCAGUAGAGUACUUUUAGACUAGAGUGUGGUAGAGGUAGAGGGAAUCCCUAGCGUAACAGUGAAAUGUGUAGAUUUUAGGGAGAACACCAGCGGCAAAGGCGCUCUACUGGGCCAAGACUGACACUGAGAGACGAAAGCUAGGGGAGCGAAUAGG